rnacentral:rRNA from 1 species
AGCGAACGCUGGCGGCAGGCCUAACACAUGCAGGUCGAACGAACUCUUCGGAGUUAGUGGCGGACGGGUGAGUAACACGUGGGAACGUGCCUUUUGGUUCGGAAUACCUCAGUGUAACUUGUGCUAAUACCGAAUGUGCCCUUCUGGGAAAAGAUUUAUCGCCAUUAGAGCGGCCCGCGUCUGAUUAGCUUGUUGGGGAUGUAACGGCUCACCAAGGCGACGAUCAGUAGCUGGUCUGAGAGGAUGACCAGCCACACUGGGACUGAGACACGGCCCAGACUCCUACGGGAGGGAGCAGUGGGGAAUCUUGCGCAAUGGGCGAAAGGCUGACGCAGCCAUGCCGCGUGAAUGAUGAAGGUGGUAGGAUUGUAAAAUUCUUUCACCGGGGACGAUAAUGACGGUACCCGGAGAAGAAGCCCCGGCUAACUUCGUG